AAACAGAAAAUAGGAGAGAGAAAUCGGGAGAACCCGAUUCCAACCCCCCCCCCCCUUUCUUUUGCCGUCCAACCCAUCAUCUUCUUCCGGCGAUUUCUUCGCCGUCCGGCCACCCCAGGACAAACCGUUCGGCUUGGUGUGAUCCUCUCCUCCUUCUCUACCUAGUCAUGUAAGUUUUUCCUCUUGGGUACCAUGGAUUCUUGAGUUUUGAAGAGGAAUUUUCAGAAAUGGAAAAAUUGGGUUUUUGCCUUGAUCUUCAGUUUUCCGGCGGUUCCGGCCAGAUUUCUUUGGGUUUUUGGUGGCUGGGACGAUGCUAACCUUCAUCCCUAACCCCUUGCAGCUUGUUUUGAUCGGUGGAGGAAGAUUUGAAGCUGUUUGAGACUGCGAACAGUCCGUGAACAGUAACUAUCGAAUUCUUGGGUUCUUGUUUGAUUUUUCUGGAUAUUCCUACUUGAAUUUGGUUGUUGUUGCAGGACGUACUGAUCCCUCGAGUGAGGAGGACACGGGCAGGCAGCAGGGUUAGCUGCGAGACUCACCAGAUGACUUUGGGUGGCGCGUGUCGGCGCGUCGAGGCAUAUUUCGGCCUAGAGUUGGCUUGCCGGUGAAGGUUGUCUUGCUGUGUUUCCAAGGGUCACACCGUUGAAGUCAUUCCGACAAGGUGACAUGGUUAAGUAUGAGUGCUGAUUAUGGCCGACAGAUGUCAUGCAUGUACAUCUAGUUCGAUACUUCAACGAUUAGCAAUUUGGAAGAAAAUUUUCAUAAGUGAACUACUCAUGCAUACAUAAACAUCUAACGGUUAAUUUUCCGUAAUAUAAUCUAAAAGUGGGGUCUCCCAAACCGUUGAUUAAAAAAUUCUCAACCAGUCCUCAUUUUAGUGAUACUCAUUAUAAGAAUUUCUCAAUAUUAUAUAGUAAGUUGUAGUAAUUUAAAGUGAAAUAAUAAAUAUUGAAUCGCUGACAAUUUCUUAAAAUUUACUUUAAACAUCUUUUUC